CCGUCGCAUUUGAACCGGCAAUUGUUUUUUUUUCCUCGUUUGUUGUCAUUUUCGUUUUUAAUGGCGGCCUGCUGUCAUUUAAAAUGAAUAAAUAUAUUACUUUUAGAAAAGGGCCGACCUCUCGUGAAGAGAACGAUGGAAUUUAUAGAUUUGGGCUGGGAAACUUGUCGAUAAAGGUAUAAUUAUAUUCUUAUAUCAUCAUGUUCAUCAUAAUCUCAUAUUCAUAUAUUAUGUUUCCCUCGUACAAAACUUGUUUUAAAUACUCUUUUUUACUUUUUCAGCUUUUUCGCUUUUUUAGAUAAACUGACACGAGAGUUUGGUACCUUCUCAAACAGGCAUAAUUUUAAUCUAAUUAAUUGUAUCUGAGAUUUUUUUACCAGUUUUGUUUACUAACAGGGAGCCCUCACUUUUUGCCGUAGCAAAACUGUUGGCAACUCGUCUUGUAAAUCUGAACAGGGUAGAAGUUCUUUGGCGUCCUGUAACAAAUCACCUGCUGGAAGUCAUCAUCCACCCACUUAACCGCUUGAGAGGAUGGGGAAUAGAUGUCAUUACUACGUUAGUUAGAUCAGUAAUUCAAUGUGAUUAUUCUACCCCUUUAAAAGAAAACCAGAGAUUGCAGACGUUGUCAAUAUCACCAUUAAAUGAGCUGUCUAGUACCAGUUUUGCAGACGUGCAGCAAAAGCAAGUUGAUUGUGUGCUCCAUUUGCUGCACAGCUCUGGUGACAUAAUCUCUUUUGGAUGGCCCUUGUUUCUUAAUAUCGUAGGAGCUAUCAACAAUUCUCAAGGGUAACAAUCAAAGUAUUUAUCAUGUUAUACCAAUUACUUUAUUACAUUAUUUUAUUUUUAUUUAGUAAAUUGUCUUUAAAGUAACUGAAUCAAUUUAUGUAGUUUAAUGUGUGUUGUGGACAAUAAAUGAUGCACUUUCAUUUCCAUAAA